CGAGGCGGCGUGUUGGGGACGGCCUUGUGAAACGUGUUCCACGCGAAACGCAGGGGACUCAAAAUCCUCCGCACGCGAGGCGUGCCGGUUCGAUUCCGGCCUCGG
rnacentral:tRNA from 1 species